rnacentral:rRNA from 1 species
AAUGAACGCUGGCGGCGUGGUUAAGACAUGCAAGUCGAACGGUUUUUGUUGUGUAGCAAUACAUAACAAAAGCAGUGGCGAACGGGUGCGUAACACGUGAACAAUCUACCUUCAAAUGGGGAAUAGCUCGCCGAAAGGCGAAUUAAUACCGCAUGUGAUUUUUUCCCGCAUGGGAGAGAUAUCAAAGUCAGGGACCGCAAGGCCUGACGUUAGAAGAGGAGUUCGCGGCCUACAGCUAG